UUUAUCAAUUGGCUGAGGGUAGUAAAAAAAGGGCUGAAUUGGUUCGUCCCAAAGUAAGUGUAGGGUAGAUUAUGGUUGCGUCUUGUUGUUGUUGUUUUGAUAUAUAUUAAGUGUAUAAACAUCGAAUUCAUUUGUAGGCAAGGUUGCAGCCUAAUGGGAAUGAUUGUGGAUAUUAUGUGAUGAAGAAUAUGCUUGACAUUGUCUCUGCUAAUAUUACUAAGUCUUGGAAUGAGGUAUUCAAUGAUCCAACGGCAUUAACAGAAGAAGAGUUGUAUGAUUUGCGAAACAGUUGGGCAACUUGUUUUCUAGAGUUGAUUAAACCUUAGAAUUUAUCAGAUUGAUUGAAUUGCUGGGAAUUUUGCUGAUAUGGACAGUAGAUUGGUGGAGAGAUGAUUGAAUGGAUUCAUAUGAGGCACUUUUUCUGCUGAAUUGCGUGGCUCAGAAUUUCAAGUGGUAGUGAAUCUCUUUUUGUUGUAUUGGUGGUCUUGGAGGCUUGGUAAAAUUUGGGAUAGGCACUAACAUUUGGGCAGUUUGUUGCCUUUGGAUUAGUAGCUUUAGAGUUCUUACUACCUUAGUCUUUUCUUUAGCUUAGCUAGUUUAUCUUUAGCUUAGCUAGUUUUGGUUACUUUGUAUUUUGGCUUUGGACCGUUUCCUUGGUUUUUUCCAAAAAAUAUUUGGCAAUGCAUGAUCAAUUAUUAAUGAUCAAUGAAUAUUCAGCUCAAAUUACUGUAAAAAAACUGAAAAAAAAGGAAAAAAAAGGACAUUUCACUUCGGUUAGAAAAUCAGCUGAUGUAAAAUAUGUAUAUAAAAAAAAAAAAAGAGUAUUCACAUCGGUUGCGAAAAUAACCGAUGUAAAAUGUCUAACUUUCCACAUCGGUUAUUUCCUACCAACCGAUGUGAAAUGUAUACUUUUCACAUCGGUUAUUUGAUUCGCCCGAUGUGAAAAAUUACUUUUCACAUCGGUUGUACAACCGAUGUGAAAAGGUGGUGACAUACUACAUCACCCUUACUUACAUCGGUUAUGAACCGAUGUAAAAAGUGAUUUUGGCCCGAUGUUAAAAGUAGUUUUUCUAGUAGUGGGCCACUUUAUCUUUUGCGUGCAAGUA